AUUGAACGCUGGCGGCGUGCUUAACACAUGCAAGUCGAUCGGUAACAGGUGUAGCAAUACAUGCUGACGAGAGGCGGACGGGUGAGUAAUGCUUGGGAAUCUGCCUAUUAGUGGGGGACAACCCGGGGAAACUCGGGCUAAUACCGCAUACGCUCUACGGAGGAAAGCCGGGGACCGCAAGGCCUGGCGCUAAUAGAUGAGCCCAAGUCGGAUUAGCUAGUUGGUAGGGUAACGGCCUACCAAGGCGACAAUCCGUAGCUGGUCUGAGAGGACGACCAGCCACACCGGAACUGAGACACGGUCCGGACUCCUACGGGAGGCAGCAGUAAGGAAUAUUGCGCAAUGGGCGAAAGCCUGACGCAGCGACGCCGCGUGGGGGAUGAAGGUCUUCGGAUUGUAAACCCCUUCGGGAGGGAAGAUGGAAUGGGGUAACCCAUUCGGACGGUACCUCCAGAAGCAGCCACGGCUAACUUCGUGCCAGCAG
rnacentral:rRNA from 1 species